CUGGCAAAAUUAUGCCGUGGACAAAGUGUAAGGUGACAUGUUGAAAUGCCAUCGUAUUAAAGGAGCUUACUUGAAAUAAGGAAUCAUAUGCCCAACAGCCUGCGCUGCUUGAUUUACAAAAGGCUCUAGGGAAUGAAGAAACCCCUUGAGAUGCAGACGAAAGAAGAAAAAUGGAGGAUGUAGCAGGUCUCCAUGUGCUCUGUCUUCACAGAUGAUAGAAACAGACAAGACCAGAUUACUUUUUAGAGGCUGGCAAGUGUUUGCUCUUUCUAAAAUCUAUGGAAAUUAUGAUCUCUCCGUGUGACUUUGC